rnacentral:lncRNA from 1 species
ACCGCCUAGCUCAGUUCCCCAGAUGAAACAUUGUUUUUGUUAAGUCUUUCCUGAAGGCAUGAGGAUAAUGGAGGCACCUCCAGACAGUUACUUACGACUGUACUAUUCACCAUCAUCCAAGUAAAUAAUGGUUUCUUAAGUUGAAUUUCCUAAAUUUUUUUAAGAUUUCACAUCAUUGUUUUCAGUGACUAGUGUUAAUUUCAUAUUAAAAGCGGCUCUAAUGUUAGCCCAAAAGAGCCCACGUUUGCUUUUCUCCUUGGGCCACUGCAAAUAAGUCCGCUGCGUCAUGAGAGCCUUCAGCUUGUGGUACUUGUUGGGAAUGCUGUUCUGUGGAAUGGGUUCCAGUAAGAUGAGGAUUAAGUUAUUAGAUCCUUCAUGAAAGAGAUUGUGAUGGGCAAAAUAGAGUUCGUAAUGGCACCACUCACUCUGGACAAAGUUGGGAGACAAAACAAAGAUAAGUGUCUCCAAUUUAACUAACGUGGAACAUUUUUCAAAAAUACUAUCUGUGAAAACGUUCUGGGUAAAGUUCAAAAACUUGAAUGUGCUUGGUGCAUGAGGACACAGCAUGUGUAUAAAAGGUGUAUCUGAAAUGGUUAACAUCAUAAUGUUCAUCUCAGAAAACACGGUGUACAAAGCUGUCUGUGAAAACAGAAAAACUUGGUUCGUGAUAUGUUCUAUUGUCAAUGCUUUCAAUGUCGUUUUAGAAUAAGUAAAAUCUUCUUCACGAAUGCUUUCAAUUAUUGUUAAAUUGUAAAUAUUGAGAUAUUCCACAGGUUUGGGCCAAAGAAAUUGAAAGACUCUGACCAGGCAUUUCCAAGUCGUUUCUAUGUGGUUGAGGGUAAAAUUCAGUAAGGUUGAACCUCUGGUGAGUUCUGAUAAAAAUUUAAUGAAAACUUGACAGUUGUCAUCAUUCAAUUUAAUAUUAGUCAGUUGUAAGCACCCUAAAGUAUUAACUGAUAUGUUCACUUGGAUAGCGAAUAAACUAGUUGGGUGAAAAACAAGGUGAAGGGUUUUUGCAUUCAGAAUUUGUAGACUUUCUGUCUCAUUUUCUUUUAUAUAAUAAUUUCUUAAAUCCAGAAGGAUAUAACUUAGAUGCAAGUGAGCAAUUGGCAGCAAAUCUAAUUUUUGCAGCUUCAUAGCACUCAAUCCCAAGAAAUUCAGUUGUGAUAAGUUGCCAAAUUCCUUACAGAUGGGCAGGGCCUUGAAAUCAUUGAAUGAGAGAUCUAAAUGCCUGAAACUCACAAUAGGAUGGCAGGAUAUCUUUUGCAACUGAUUAUGAGAUAAAUCCAAAUAUUCUAAAUCCUGGUUGAACUUGAAAACACUUAAAUCAAGUAGCUGGAUUCUGUUAUGGGAAAGUCUCAAAACUGUCAACUCUGAUAGAAAGCUCAUGUCAGAGACCUGAAGCUCAGCGAUGUAGUUCUGAGACAUAUCUAAGACUUUGGUUUUCAGCGGUAGGUCUUUUGGAACAUGAAUAAGACCUCUUUUUGACUUGUCUACUGCAAAUUCAUUUCCGUCGGAGAACUGGAUUCUGGUUCCAACUAUUAUGAUCAUAAGGCAAACAAAAUGGAAGCUUUUAACAAUAGGUUCUUUGUCUUUGGUCAUGAUGUUGCAGUGGCUAUCCUAAAGGG